GCAUGCGCCCGUUAGGCGCCUCCUGAGCUGCCACAAGCUCCUCGGACUAAGCCAGGGGAGAGCUCUACACGAGGACUUGGGGCUCGGCUUCCAGUCUGCGCAUGCUCCUUGUGCCCCCCUUGGGCUGGCUUGGGGCAGGGCCGGUUAUGAGGAUUGGGGCUCCGCAAUGCCCACUUGUGCGGUCUCCUGCUUCUGGGGCUAGUUCAGGGUUUAGGGAGGAUUGGGGCUCAGCUUCAGGUUUCUACAUUGUGGUAGGGCUGGUGUAGUGGUUUGAAGGUUAGAGGCCAUGGGGUUUGAAUCCCAGGUCAGCAGUGGUCACCUUGCUGACAUCUUGGCCAAGGCACCUCACCGUUCUCAGCCUCAAUUGCCCCAGCUUAGGGAGGACUAGCACUUCUGGCUUGAGGACUUGCUGCAUCCUUUUCAGGGCUGUUCAUUCACCUUUGGCGUCCAUUGGCCCUAAGCUCUCACCUGUGGUUCCAAGAAGCUGUGACAUUUAAAGCAGCCACACCUUGGCCAUCUUAACAACAGGCUAAAUUGGGUUAAGGCUAACCAACAGGCCUCCAACCCAUUGGUGAGUCAGGGGAGUGUCUACCCCCAAGCGUGUGAAGACUUCCUCAGCUGGACUGGUCAAAUAAGAACAAUUUGCUUCAAAGGCCAUGAAAGCCACUGAAACACCUAGAGCUUGGUCAGAUAUUGAAGAUGCCAAGGUCAUCCACUACAUCCUGGGCCAUAGUCAUCCUGACCAUCUUGCCAUUGGACCACAAUGACUUUGGAAGAGUGAGGCUAAGUGCAACUCUGCCUGACUUAAAUCCAAUUCAAGCAUGAAUCAAGACGUCCCAUCACUUCAUGAUGUCAUUAGUAUUCUUUGAAAACAAAGGACUAACAAGCAUCGCAAAUCCUGAGGUGCUGUUCUGUAUGGUCCUCCUGCAAAUGUGCACCAUAUUGGAUACUUCCUGGGCAGGUAUCCAUCCAGUUCUACUGAACCCUUCCAGGCACUGGGUUUUGACCCCCUCUUGGUCUGCCUAUGAGGCAAACCACAGAGGAGCUACAGGACCUGGAGGAUGGAACAGAAGAGUUCAAUUCACAAACCAUCUAUCUCAAAGGCAGGAAAUUAAAGAUGUAACUUACCGCUAUCCCCCAUUUUGCUACCAAAAAUCAACGCUACACUAUCAAUUAUCACAUAAUGAUUAAUGCUUUGAAAAAUAUGAUCAUCAUUGUUCAGGUCAAAUUGUUCUAACUGGCAGCUACCAGCAUGUUUUGAAACACAAGUUCUAGGUCCUUAAUCUGAUUUAAUAGAGUAAAUUCAAUAUGUUUUCUUUUGCCUCAAUUCUAUACAACCGUAACACUGUACUACAUACAUGCAUACAUAUAUGUAUAUAUAUAUAUAUACAAGUCAUUGAUUGUUUUUUUAAAAAAUUGUAUAAAAUAUGCAUCUUCCUUUUAGAACAAAAGUACCUGACCACCCACAAAAUUUCACCUGAUUAAGAAUAUGAUGUUCACCACAAUGUACAAUUUUCAAAUUGAGUAUGAAGGAAACUAUCUUAUUUUUGAUUUAUCCCCUUAAUCUCUAGUUCAAAUGAAGCUAAAGUCAUAAGAUCAAAUUGCCAACAAACAGAAAUCAACCCAGUGGAGUGGGGUGUGGAAAGGUGGAGAGGAAUAAUUUUUCAUAAUUUCCAUUUUAUAGCUAUACUGUCAUUACUAAUCAGGGCAAUUCUACUACUUUAAUUCCUGUUUUAAUUCCUUCAAUUUAUGUCACUCGGACGCUCAGGUUAUUGUCUGUCCCCUUUGGUUCUGAAGUCACUACUUUUUUUCCAGUAUAUGAAAACAGAUUUCUUUCUGUUCUAAGUAUGUGUAUUCUACAGGCUUCUUUGAUGUUUCAGCCUGGGCUUUAUGCCUUUCCCUUUUCAUUAAAAACAAACAACCACAAACUUAAUCCUUCCAUGCUGCUUAAAGAAUCCUUUUUUUCUGUCAUUUUCUGUGUGCUACUGGAUUCAUUUGUCUAUACAGGUCAGAAUUGUUGUAAUCUAUAAUGGAAGUAUCUUUUAACAUCUUUGAAAGGAGAAUUUAUGUUUCUUAUUUCCAAUUACCUCCAGCUACCUCUCCACUUAGUUGUCCAGACAGCGUCUCAAACUAAAAUUGUCCCAAACUGAAAUCAUCAUUCCCUCCCAUUCCCUCCUGCCUGUCCAAGUUGCUCCUACCCUAACUUCUCCAUUUAAAAAAAUCCAUUCUUUUCCCAGUUAUCCAGGCUCAAAACUUAGUCAUCUGAUAGACCACAGCCCAUCUUAGCCAUCACUCAUAAAUUAUAUUCUGGGGUUCCAAAGGAAUCUAUGGACACGAUAGCUGAACUGCUAUGAGGAACCUCUGAAAAUGCACAGUGCUACAUAGGCUAGAGGCAGGUAAAUGUCUUAAUUUUCCAAAAGAGGAAGAAUGUGAACUGUUCAACCUAUAGUUUGGAGAGCUUGACUAAGAUUUUUGGGAAAUUCUAGAAGAUUUUGUUAAAAGGAUAACUUGUGAGCGAUUAGAAAGGGAAACAGUAGUUAACAGUGCCAAAGUAGAUCUAUUAAGAAUAAGUUACAUCACACUAACCACAUUAGCUUGUUUGACAGGUUUAUGAGACUAGGUAAGUGGAAAGUCAAAUGCCAUGUACUUGUAGCUUGGCAAAAUGCCUGAUAGAAUUUCUUAUGUUAUCCUUGUAGAUGAAAUGGAGGUAUGUAGACAUAAGAGUACAUUUUGGCAGAUUCAGUUUUAGACUCAAUGCACAGAGACUGAUGUCACUGAGAAAGAUCUAAUGAAGUACCACCUUGCUUUGUCUUCGGUCCUGUUCUAUUCAAUGUUAUUAGUGAUUUGAAUGAAGACCAUAUGGAAUGUUUAUGAAAGCUGUGUAUGGAACUGGGAGAAGUAGCUGAUUCACUGGAUGGAAGAAUUCCAUAAAGAGCUCAGUAUGAUAGGAUGAAGGGCUACAUCUAUUAAGAUCAUAUUUAAAGGGAAUAUAUGGAAAUUCCUUUUGAUUACAAAACAGUCAUUUGUACAAAUACAUUUUAGGGGGAGAUAUGACUAGACAAGAGUUCAUGUGAAAAGAAUCUGGAGAUUUUAACAGAGUGCAAGCUCCUCAUGAAUCAUCAGUGGAAUUUGCUAGCCAAAAAAGGCUAAUGAAAUUUUAGCCUAUAUUAACAGAGGUAUAGUGUCUAGAUCAAGAGAGAGGAUAGUGUUAUUGUAUUUGCCCCUGGUCAGAGGCAUCUGGAAUAUAUUUCCAGGUACUACAUUUUAGGAAGGAUAUUGACAAGCCAAAGGAAGGUACCAAGAAUGCUGUAGGCAUGCAAAGCCAUGCCAUACUUGUUUAAGGAACUUCAGAUGUUUAGCCUAUGGAAAGGAAUGCCUUGUAAAAACCUGACUGCUGGAAAAAUAUCUGACAAAAUUUCUUACAUUUGGAUGGUCUUGUAUUUGAAUGUGGAAGAAGGAUUAGAUUUGUUUGGCCUUAGAAGUCAGAACUAGGAAAUUCUAGGGGCGCAAGGUAGGGGAGGAGUGAGUUUUCACCUCAGUACAUGGAAACAAUUUUGGAACAAUUGGAUAACAAAAAAGCAGAAUGGCAGAGAAUGUUGGUUCAAAUUCCAGUUAUCUGGUCCUUGGGUGUCCUCAACUGCAAAAUGAGAGGAUUGCACCAAAUGACUUCUGAGGCCUCUUCCAGUUCUAAAGAGUUCCCCAUCAAUGAAGAUCUUGAUUUGGAGGUGGUAUGGCUGUUUGUUGAGGAUGCUUUUGGAGAUAUUGUUUCAGUUAUGGGUAAGACUAUCUUCCCUCUGAAGUCCCUUCCAAUCACGAGGUUCUAUGACUUAUGCUGCUCCCCACUCCCAUGCUCUACUAAACAACACUACUUAUCCUGAUAUUCGGAGCCAUCCAUAACCUGCCUUAAUCCUACCUUAUUUGCUUCAUGUACCUAACAUUCCAACAAACUGAACUAGGGGUUAUUUCAUUUUUUUGUCCGGUUUUCUCUUACCUCUGCACCUUUGUUUAUCUUUUCUCCCAUGCCUUGAAUUGAGACCUUCCUUGACACCCUGACACAUCCUUCAUCUACUUAAAUCCCUCCCUUACUUAAAGGCCUAGCUUAGGCGUCAGCUUUUCCAUAAAAUCUCCCCUAAUACCCUUAAGCUGAAAGCUAUCUUUUCCUCUUCAGAUUUCUAGAUUUGACCUAGAUAUCUAGGUUUAACCCUGUCUAGACCACUCCUUUCUUCUUUAUCGCUUUUUUGCUUUCUGAUUACUCAUGCACAUGAUCCAUCCCUCCUAUUAAACUGUAAGGGCCUUGAGGAUAAGGACUCCGCCAUUUGUUAUGUCCUUAUUUCAUUUAGGACACAGCAUAGUCCCUUGCACACUAUAGAUGCCUCAGAAAUAAAUAUUUGUUGAGUUAAAUCAGAUUGAGAGGCGUUCAAAAACAGAUUCUGACCAAGUUGCCCGCUUUGGGGCGGGGGGCAGGUAGAGGGCCCUGAACCAAAGAUUUCAUUACUAUAAUAACUGUCGCUCUGCAACUUCAACAUGGGUCAAGACUUGAAACCAGAUUUUCCAACUAUGAGGUCAGUGACGAGGUGCACGACACCAAGCUGGCUGACUGAGCUGAUACUUACUAAGAUGAAUGGUCACUCUUUAGUCUCUACUUGGAUAACUCAGAAAUCCACCUUAGUGGAAGAUGACUGGUCAUAACACUGGGAAUUAAUUUGUCUCAUUCUCCUCCAUUAUUAAGCACUACUAACAAUUACUUAAGAGGCAGCAUUACAGAGUGGAUAGAGGUCUGUCCUUGGGGUCAGAAACAUUUGUUAAAUGAAUGGAAUAGUAGUAUGCCAUAGGAAAGGAUGAAAUGGAUAGUUUUAGUGAAAAUUGGGAAGACCUCUAUGAAAUGAUGAAGCAGGAAAUGAACAGCAUUAGGAGAGAAAGUUAUAUACAAUGAUAACAUUAUAAAGAAAAACAACGUUGAGAGACUAAAAGUUUGAUUAAUGUAAUGAUAACCAUGAUUCCAGAGGACUGCAGCAUGCUGCCUGUUGCUCUAGAAGCUGUUGUUCAGUUGUGUCCAACUCUUCAUGACCCUGCGGA